CUAUGGUUUAUUGGAUCGUACCCGUUAAAUGGAUAACUGUAAUAACUCUAGAGCUAAUACAUGCCUCGAAGCCCUGACCCUUGCGGGAAUGGGUGCACUUAUUAGAUCAGAAGCCAACCGCGAAAGCGUUGAACUUCUGGUGACUCUGGAUAAUUGUUACAGAUCGCAGUCGGCCUUGAGUCGGCGACGGGUCCUUCAAAUGUCUGCCCUAUCAACUUUCGAUGGUAGGUGACCUGCCUACCAUGGUGAUAACGGGUAACGGGGAAUCAGGGUUCGAUUCCGGAGAGGGAGCCUGAGAAACGGCUACCACUUCCAAGGGAGGCAGCAGGCGCGCAAAUUACCCACUCCCAGCACGGGGAGGUGGUGACGAAAAAUACCGAUGCGGGACUCCUUAUAGAGGCUCCGUAAUCGGAAUGAGUGAACUAUAAAUCCUUUCACAAGGAUCAAUUGGAGGGCAAGUCUGGUGCCAGCAGCCGCGGUAACUCCAGCUCCAAUAGCGUAUAUUAAAGUUGCUGCAGUUAAAAAGCUCGUAGUUGGAUCUCGGUAGCAUUGUUGCCCGUCGGUAAUUGGGCAGUUGGUAUAGGCGCACUGGUACGCCCGUGCUUGCCGCCACUGGCUGUUCCGAACUGGCGUGGUGAUGGUGUCGCCUUUCAGCCAUGUCUGUGGUGAAAUACCCAUGGGUGUAGGCGGGUGUCGGGCGGUGCCUUGCGACAGUGGGGCCCGUCGGCUCGUUUGCAUGCCUUUGGAUGCCCUUUAAAAGGUGUCUGCGGGCGGAUGGCACGUUUACUUUGAACAAAUUUGAGUGCUCAAACCAGGCCGCUGUUGCCUGAAAAGUUUUGCAUGGAAUAAUGGAAUAGGACUUCGGUUCUAUUUCGUUGGUUUUCGGAUCCGAAGUAAUGAUCAAAAGGGACAGGCGGGGACGUUUGUAUGGCUGCGCUAGAGGUGAAAUUCAUGGACCGUAGCCAGACAAACUAAAGCGAAAGCAUUCGUCAAGCAUGUUUUCAUUGGCCAUGAGCGAAAGUCAGAGGCUCGAAGACGAUCAGAUACCGUCCUAGUUCUGACCAUAAACGAUGCCAACUGACGAUCCGUGGUGGUAGUCUAUCAACCUUCCCCACGGGCAGCCCCCGGGAAACCUUUAAGUCUUUGGGUUCCGGGGGAAGUAUGGUUGCAAAGCUGAAACUUAAAGGAAUUGACGGAAGGGCACCACCAGGAGUGGAGCCUGCGGCUUAAUUUGACUCAACACGGGAAAACUCACCCGGGCCGGACACUAUGAGGAUUGACAGAUUAAAAGCUCUUUCUUGAUUUGGUGGUUGGUGGUGCAUGGCCGUUCGUAGUUGGUGGAGCGAUUUGUCUGGUUAAUUCCGAUAACGAACGAGACUCCUGCCUGCUAAUUAGUUCAUCUGUCCACUGUGCCUGUGUAGGCGGCGUUUGGCAAGGCUGCUCCUAUUUACCUCGCCUUGGGGCUGCGUGUCCUCGGAUGCGUUGGCUGCUCGGUGGGAGGGUAGUGGCUGGUCCGGCGUUAGCUUCCGGGUACGGCGCGGGUGUACACUUCUUAGAGGGACAAGCGGGAGAAGCCGCACGAAAUAGAGCAAUAACAGGUCUGUGAUGCCCUUAGAUGUCCGGGGCCGCACGCGCGCUACAAUGACGGUGGCAAUGAGUUAGACCUCCUGGCCCGAAAGGGUUGGGCAAACUGGUCAAUCACCGUCAUAACAGGGAUCGGGGCUUGGAAUUGUUCCCCGUGAACGAGGAAUUCCUAGUAAGUGCAAGUCAUAAGCUUGCGCUGAUUACGUCCCUGCCCUUUGUACACACCGCCCGUCGCUACUACCGAUUGAAUGGUUUAGUAAGGUCCUUGGAUUGGCGCCAUUGUGGUGGUUGCCGAAAGGUGGCUGCCCGACAGGUGCUGAGAAGACGACCGAACUUGAUCAUUUAGA
rnacentral:rRNA from 2 species